UACAGAGGGUGCAAGCGUUAUCCGGAUUCACUGGGUUUAAAGGGUGCGUAGGUGGGAAUGUAAGUCAGUGGUGAAAUCUCCGUGCUUAACAUGGAAACUGCCAUUGAUACUAUGUUUCUUGAAUCUUCCGGAGGUUAGCGGAAUAUGUCAUGUAGCGGUGAAAUGCUUAGAUAUGACAUAGAACACCAAUUGCGAAGGCAGCUAACUACAGGGGCAUUGACACUGAUGCACGAAAGCGUGGGGAUCAAACAGG
rnacentral:rRNA from 1 species